CAUGUCUCAGUACAAGCCGCAUUAAGGUGAAACCGCGAAAGGCUCAUUAAAUCAGUUAUGGUUCCUUAGAUCGUACCCACAUUUACUUGGAUAACUGUGGUAAUUCUAGAGCUAAUACAUGCAAACAGAGUUCCGACCGGAGACGGGAGGAAUGCUUUUAUUAGAUCAAAACCAAUCGGCGGCGGGUGCGUUCGCGCGCCCGUUCGCCGCUCAACCUGGUGACUCUGAAUAACUUUCGGCUGAUCGCACGGUCCAGCACCGGCGACGCAUCUUUCAAAUGUCUGCCUUAUCAACUGUCGAUGGUAGGUUCUGCGCCUACCAUGGUCGUAACGGGUAACGGGGAAUCAGGGUUCGAUUCCGGAGAGGGAGCCUGAGAAACGGCUACCACAUCCAAGGA
rnacentral:rRNA from 1 species